GGAAGGAUCAUUAGCACUUCGAUAUGACAACUCUGCCGUAUCCAGGACUCUCGCCUGCGUGGCGGGAUGCUCCGGGGUGCGGUAGUUAGCCCCUUGUGAAUCGUUAAAGUCCGGUAACAGUAUUCCGUUCCUUCGGGGUCCGAUUGGGAUGGCGACUUUGGGGUGCGUGCGCGCUUCUCUCUGUUUCGUGUCAGGGGGACGAACGGUUGCAGCAAACGGUCUGUGCUUGAUUUGCGGAAUCUGGGCACUGAUUUUAUGCUGUGACUGUUUUGUCCUCUUGGUGCAGCAGCGUUUUGUGUGUGUGCGUUCCGAGGCCUCCUCUCGAUUGCGUCAAGGGAUAGCUGUUGCCUUCAAUAUUUUAACACCCUUAUCCAUAUGACUAAACUGAAAGUCGGCGGGUGCGUCCUGUCGAUUUUUACCAAAACCAUUAGACAACUUUUGACAACGGAUAUCUUGGUUCUCGCAACGAUGAAGAGCGCAGCGAAAUGCGAUACGUAAUGUGAAUUGCAGAAUUCAGUGAAUCAUCAAAACCUUGAACGCACCUUGCGCUCGUGAGUCCUCUCACGAGCAUGCCUGUUUGAGUGUCGGUUUCCUAUUCUCACCCGUUCCCCCAGCGCCUUGUGUGUUGGGGAUGUGCGUGGAAGCGAUUGGGAGUUGAAUGACUGCGCGUCGUUCAUCUCUUGAAAUGAAUGGUACUCUAUGCGGGGACCGGUUCUGAGACGUUUUCUUGCGAGACUCUCGACCUUUACUGUCCGUUACGAGCCAGGCGCAUCAAUGAGUUGCGGACUCUGUUGUUUACGCUGAGGCCAGGAUGGCUAGAGGUUGUUUGUUUCGUGUUUUCGUUUCGGAGCCCUUGUGUGUCUCUUCUGUGCAGCGCCAAACGCAAGGAUACCGAUGUGAGAAGAGAGUAGCCGUAAAAAAGCUGUUCUUUUCGCGCACUUCUUUCAACAUCGACCUCAAAUCAGGCAAGGCUACCCGCUGAAUUUAAGCAUAUCAAUAAGCGGAGGAAAAGAAACUUAUCAGGAUUCCCCUAGUAACGGCGAGUGAAGAGGGAAGAGCUCAAAUUUGGAAUCUGCCGGGUUGUACCUGUGCAGAAUUGUAGUUUUGUGAACGGCCUUACGGAUCGGCGUCUUGCAAUCGAAGUCCCUUGGAACAGGGCACCAGAGAGGGUGAGAGUCCCGUUCAUGGUUGCAGGCUCGCGCUGGUCAACACGUACUGCCGUCUCGACGAGUCGGGUUGUUUGGGAGUACAGCCCUAAAUCGGGUGGUAAAUCUCAUCUAAAGCUAAAUACUGGCGAGAGACCGAUAGCGAACAAGUACCGUGAGGGAAAGAUGCAAAGAACCCUGAAAAGAGAGUUAAAAGUGCUUGAAAUUGUCAAAAGGGAAGCGAUUGGCACCAGUGUUUUGACCGCGGCCGAAUCAGCUGCACGGCGACGGCUGGCGUCUGUUUGACGAGGGGUCCCUGGUGGCCUCCGUUGGGCGGAUGCCUGGCUGGCGUCGGGCGGUGCACUUUGGUCGGGGGCUUGUCAGCGUCGAUUGGGAAGGUCGAGAGAUGGGCCGGCGGAAGGUGGGCAGGCGUGAUUACACGCUUGUCGUUACAGACGCUGGCACUCGGUAUCGCCUUGACCCGAUCGAGGCGUCCUAUGGACGUUUCAACGAGCGGCCUUCGGGUCGGGAGACUGGGUUGCCUAUUGGACGGCGACGGCGGGGACAGCUUGCUGUGCCUGUUGAUCGUUGGCUGAUACAGCGGCCCUAUCACCAGCUCGUUAGGGAUGCUGACGAAAUGGUGUCAAUCGACCCGUCUUGAAACACGGACCAAGGAGUCUAACAUGUAUGCGAGUAUUCGGGUGGCAAACCCGGGAUGCGCAAUGAAGGUGACAACUGGUGGGAGGCGCCUCGUGUGCCGCACCAUCGACCGCUCUGGAGAUUCUUCGAUAGAUGUGAGUGGGAGCAUACCUGUUGGGACCCGAAAGAUAGCGAACUAUGCUUGCAUAGGGUGAGGCCAGAAGAAAUUCUGGUGGAGGCUCGUAGCGAUACUGACGUGCAAAUCGUUCGUCAAAUGUGAGUAUAGCGGCGAAAGACUAAUCGAGCUAUCUAGUAGCUGGUUUCCUC
rnacentral:misc_RNA from 1 species